rnacentral:lncRNA from 1 species
AAAAGGGAAUGUGACAAUGGAACAAGCUUUGUCGCAACACGUGCAUGAGAGUUUCGAUCCGGAAUUAGUAAAAGUAAAAAAGUAAAUCAAAUUCUAAUAGGCCCUGCAGUCAAAUUAUAUAAAAAAAAAUUAAAAAAGAAAAAGGAAAUUCUUUUAAGUCAAUAUAGCAAAAUUAUAUUCGGUCAUAUCCUCUGUUUUUUUAGACAUCUAAUUGGGCAAACCUAGACUUGCGAUGUCAGCCGAAUUUAUAGAGAGGCUAAUCGUUUCGCCGAUCAAGGAUGAGAAUGGUAACUGGGUGGGUUCAAUCGACAGCGACGACGGCGGGGGCUUCAAUCGACAGUUCAGUGUUCGGUGGUGCUUGUUUCACGUGAGAUUCACUCGAUCUGAGGGACGGUGUUUGUUUUACCGGGGAAAGGGGUGGGGUGGGGGAGAGAGACGUAGGCGUGGGGGAAGUGAGGGGGAGGGGUAAAUCGUCGGUGUGGUGGGGAAGAGAUGUUGGCGUGGGGGAGAGAGAGAGAGCGCUAGGUUUGCUGCGUUGGUAUGAAAGAGAGAGAUGGUUGUUGAGUGGGGGUAGGAUAGAUAUGGUUGUUUAAUCUCAUCCCUUUAAAUCACGGGUUGAGAUGGAGUGUUUAAAAUUGUGUUAAAUUUUUGUUUAUGGAUCCAUCCCAUAUAUAUAUAUGUAUAUAUAUAUAUAUAUAUAUAAUAUUAUAAUAUUUAUAAUAUCCGGAACUGGUAUUGUAGUUCAAGGAAGGCCCUGAACUGACCGAAGAGUUACUUCUAAACCAAUAAUAUCAGUUUAUUUGACUUCGUUCAAAGAAAUUCACUAAUGCUUUGUUUAAUUAUCAUUUUUUGUUUUGUUCACAUACCCUCGGCCGACACAUAACCUCCGUUGUCUACCCUUCUAUCGCAUGGGUCUACGCCCUUGCCUGGACUUACACAUAGGUUAAAACUGGGACAAGACGGUUUUAAAGGUGGUUUUUUUUAAAAUGACACUUAGGUGGACGAACAGACUAGGAUAACUAGAAACAGAUCAGUAAAUGACUUCGCGAAGGUCAAGAGAUGAACAGAGUGAGUAGAAUAGAUAUAUAUAUUUUUUUAUAUAUAUAUAUAUAAUAUAUAUAUAUAAAAUAUCUAGAUAAUUUCCUCUCUCCGACUCUCUCGGCACAAUCUAUCUCCCUCUCUCUCCCUAAUUGUCUAUAAAAGGAGGGAGAGGGGGGAUUUUCUAGGAGGUUAGAUUUUUUUAGUCUUAGGUUAGUUUUGAGUAGGAGUCAGAGAGUUCAGAGAGUUGGUUUUCUAAGUUUUGAGUUUUAGUAAUUUUCGUUUUUUUGAUUUAGCUAUACACUUUUCAUUUUGAGUUAUAGAUUAGGUUGAUUAGACUUAAGUUCACGCCUUGUAUUGGAUUCAAUCUCUUCUAUAAAAUUUAUAGUUCUGUAUUUAAUUUCGAAAUUUUCUUUAUGCCAUGCCAAUUGUAUUUUUCUUUUAAUGUUUAAUUUUCAUAGAUAAAAGAUGAGAGUAGCUAGUCUUUUGAAUUGGCGUUCAAAUGUGAAAAUUACUCAAGAAAUCCAAUGGUUUUUUUAAUGGGGCUCUCAUAACUUAUGCCUAUAUUUUUCUAGAUUUUUAAUUCUUAAGUAAUUUCAUGUGGGAUAUUUAGAUACUUAUGAUUAUUGACUAAGUUGGGAUUUAAAAUUACCCAAGCCGAUGGUUAUUAAUAUGACUUUCACUAAAAAUUAAUCCACAAUUACUAAGAAUUCAUUCACAGCAAUGAUUGCAGAUGCCUUAGAACCCUGAGGUUAUUGAUGAUGUUUGGCUAAUUCAAUGCACAAACUCCCCCCAAAAAAAAUUUGGAUUGACUAUAGCCCAUCGAUGGUAUUUAUUAUGUUAUUAACUUUGAUUCCUCCAUUGGACCAUAUAUCUAAUUUCAAUGCUUGAAAAAUAUUGGUUUUCAAGGUUAAAUAUCCGAAUCAAAAACACACUCAAAGUGUUGUGUUGAGUUGAAGUUAUAGACCUCGUUGAAAGCCUGGGAUGAAUUGAAUGAUUGGAUCAAUUGAGCCCAAUCUCUUUAAUUACUUUAAAAUCUAAUUUUAAUUUGCUUACUUUAAAUGCAUAGUUGUUUAAUUACUUUUAUUUCACGCAAUAGUUUAGUAAUUUAAAACACCCAUUAAAAACCCAAAAGAUUUUCGGUGGUUUCCUUUAUUUUUCUUUUAUUUUAGGUCAUUCACAUAGUUUCUAGUCGACCUAAGUUAGCUUGUGUGUGAGUUUAGUGUCAAUGCUAUAUUGGGUAAAUCACUUUAGAGUGAGAACGAUACCGGAUUACUGUAACUACUUCAUCGCGACCCCCUAUCUUGAGGGGGUAAUUCAAUUGUAGAGCACCUUUGGGGGCGAACCAGUAGCCGCCCAAUAUGAAAGUUAAUUAUGGUUUCCAAGUCAUUAAGAGGCUCAUAAUUUAAAUAGCAAUUGGAGCCAAUUUUUUUCUGUAUGUAGUCCACUUUGGGCAAAAACAUUGGUUAUUGAUAAACAUGCAUAUAUGAAAAACAAAUUUCCAUUUGGUUACAUGGCUAAAAUACAU